GAUUAGAGUUUGAUCCUGGCUCAGAACGAACGCUGGCGGCGUGGAUAAGACAUGCAAGUCGAACGGGGUUACAGCGGAUAGCAAUAUUCAUUGUAACCUAGUGGCGAACGGGAGCGUAACACGUGGGAAUUUACCAAAAAGUGGGGGAUAGCUCGUCGAAAGGCGAAUUAAAACCGCAUGUGAUCGAAAGAUUAAAGUGGGGGAUCGUAAGACCUCACGCUUUUUGAGAAGCCCGCGGCCUAUCAGCUCGUUGGUGAGGUAACGGCUCACCAAGGCUAUGACGGGUAGCUGGUCUGAGAGGACGACCAGCCUCACUGGAACUGAGACACGGUCCAGACACCUACGGGUGGCAGCAGUCGAGAAUUUUUCACAAUGGGGGCAACCCUGAUGGAGCGACGCCGCGUGGAGGAUGAAGGCCUUCGGGUCGUAAACUCCUGUCACUACAGAACAAGAGUAUAACAAUUAAUACUUGUUAUGCUUGAUAGUAUGUGGAGAGGAAGGGACGGCUAACUCUGUGCCAGCAGCCGCGGUGAUACAGAGGUCCCAAGCGUUGUUCGGAUUUACUGGGCGUAAAGGGUGCGUAGGAGGCUAGGAAAGUCGGAUGUGAAAGCUCACUGCUCAACGGUGAAACUGCAUUCGAAACUUCUUGGCUAGAGGAUCAGAAAGGAAAGCGGAAUUCUUGGUGUAGCGGUGAAAUGCGUAGAUAUCAAGAGGAACGCCAAUGGCGAAAGCAGCUUUCGGGAGGAUUCCUGACUCUGAGGCACGAAAGCUAGGGUAGCAAACAGGAUUAGAUACCCUGGAUAGUCCUAGCAGUAAACGGUGCUCAUUAGAUAUUGGCGGAUUCGACCCCGCCGGUGUCGAACCUAACGGAUUAAAUGAGCCGCCUGGGAAGUACGGUCGCAAGAUUAAAACUCAAAGAAAUUGACGGGGGCCCGCACAAGCGGUGGAGUAUGUGGCUCAAUUCGAUGCAACGCGAAGAACCUUACCUGGCCUUGACAUGUAGUGUUCAGGCGAUGAAAGUCGCUGGCCCGCAAGGGCGAACUACACAGGUGCUGCAUGGCUGUCGUCAGCUCGUGUCGUGAGAUGUUGGGUUAAGUCCCGCAACGAGCGCAACCCCUAUGAUUAGUUACCCAGCUCUUUCUGAUUUUUGGAAUCAGAAGUUAGAAAGAGCUGGGGUCUCUAGUCAGACUGCCCUGUGAAACGGGGAGGAAGGUGGGGAUGACGUCAAGUCAGUAUGGUCCUUACGGCCAGGGCUGCACACGUACUACAAUGCUCAGUACAGAGGGAAGCAAGACCGCGAGGUGGAGCUAAUCCUAGAAAACUGAGCCCAGUUCAGAUUGAAGGCUGCAACUCGCCUUCAUGAAGUUGGAAUCGCUAGUAAUGGCACAUCAGCUACGGUGCCGUGAAUACGUUCCCGGGCCUUGUACACACCGCCCGUCACAUCAUGAAAGCCGUUUGUACCCAAAGUCGUUUCGCUAACCGCAAGGAGGCUGACGCCUAAGGUAUGGAUGGUGAUUGGGAUGAAGUCGUAACAAGGUAACCAUCUCUAGAGGUUCCC
rnacentral:rRNA from 1 species